rnacentral:rRNA from 1 species
CAUAGCGACUAUCGUGGCAUAUCAAUAAGCGGAGGAAAAGAAACUAACAAGGAUUCCCCUAGUAACGGCGAGUGAAGCGGGAAGAGCUCAAAUUUGAAAUCUUAAAGGGUUUCCCUUGACGAAUUGUAGUUUAUAGAAGUGUUUUCUGUUAGUGGAGUUCGGUAAAAGUUCUUUGGAAUAGGACAUCAUAGAGGGUGAGAAUCCCGUAUUUGACCGUUACUUCCCUAGCUGUGUGAUACACUUUCAAAGAGUCGGAUUGUUUGGGAAUGCAGUCCAAAAUGGGUGGUAAAUUUCAUCUAAAGCUAAAUAUUGGCGAGAGACCGAUAGCGAACAAGUACCGUGAGGGAAAGAUGAAAGAGAACUUUGAAAAGAGAGUUAAACAGUACGUGAAAUUGUCAAAAGGGAAGCGUUUGACACCAGUGUUGUUUAGUUGAAAAUCAAUUCAAUAAUUUUUGAUUUUGAAGUAGUAUUGACUUCAUCAGCUUGCUGCUUUCUUUUCGGAAAAUUAUUGAAUGCACUUUUCAGUUAACAAGUCAACAUCAAUUUCUUUUGUUGUAAAAGGGUAAGAGGAAGGUGGCUUACGCUUCGGCGUAAGUGUUUAUAGCCUUUUACCUCUGCAGUCGGAGAGAUUGAGGUCAGCAGCGUAGACUCCUUCGGGGGUUAGAUACACUUGUGCUAAGCUAUAGCCUUGUAUAGACAACUUGUUGACUAUGCUCAGUCAUGUAGCUUACUCGCUUGUGCUAUUUUACCUACGCUUAGGAUGUUGAUAGUCACAGCGUGUAC